rnacentral:rRNA from 1 species
CACGUAGUUAGCCGUCCCUUAUUCAUAAGUUACCGUCAUAAUCUUCUCUUAUAAAAGCAGUUUACAACCCGAGGGCCUUCAUCCUGCACGCGGCAUUGCUCCAUCAAGCUUUCGCUCAUUGUGAAAUAUUCCUCACUGCUGCCUCCCGUAGGAGUCUGGACCGUGUCUCAGUUCCAGUCUGGCUGAUCAUCCUCUCAGACCAGCUACACAUCAUCGACUUGGUAAGCCAUUACCUCACCAACUAUCUAAUAUGACGCAGGCCACUCCUUCAGCGCAUAAAUGCUUUAAUCCGAAGACCGUAUGCGGUAUUAGAACACCUUUCGGUGUCUUAUCCCUCACUGCAGGGUGUGUUCCUACGCGUUACUCAGCCGUCCGCCUCUCGUGUACUCCGAAGAGCCUUACCGAUCGACUUGCAUGUGUUAGGCAUGCCGCCAGCGUUCAUCCUGAGCCAGGAUCAAACUCU